rnacentral:lncRNA from 1 species
CUUUCAUACCUUAUACAUCACUACCGCAUUCCCCCGAAUAGGGGAGCCCCAUAGCAUUUCGCCACCUAGCGCAGAAUGCAGGCGCCCACAGCAGCGGUGGAGGGGACCUAGCCGGGACGCGAGCACCGCGAGAGGAGAAGGACCUCAGCACCCGCUCGCAGGCUCUCUCCCCGCUCCAAUCAUCGCGAGGCCUGCAACUUGUAGCAGCCAUUCUGCAGUCCUGACCUAGGAUUGUCUGUUCCCCAGGGAGGUCUGGACUUCAGGCCAAGCAACACAGUUUAUUAGGGGGAGCCCUCUCCCAGUUACCACUCGGGUCUUGGCCAGCACAUGCGUCCUCUUCGCUGGAGUCUCCGCACACGAGGCUUUGCAGCAGCAGACACACACCCUCUUGCAUGUGCGUAAGCCCGCGAGACACAUUUCUGCGCUCCCCACCAACCAGUGUGUGCGUCCAGGAGCAGGAUUGCUGUGAGAAGCCAGUGAGAUAAGCACAGAGCUUGACACCGGUCAUGCGAUGGCAAAUGAUGGAGCUUUUCUUCUUCAGCCAGUGCAGGUCUGCCCUUCCUGGGACAGUAAGAUAUCAGCCACAAUUCACUCACUCAGUCUGCUAGACGGAAAGGCCACUUGAUGGGCACCCCUAGAGCUUGGAUGUGAAUUUCUCCUACCAGCCUCCGAGGACCCCUUUCCUCAACUUGAAAGUGUAAAUAAUAAUAUGUUUUCUCGUUAAAUUAUUGUGAGGAUUAAACAAGAUGACAAAGGCACCUGAGGCUAAAUAAUCAUUAAUUUCCUCUUCGCCAUAACCCUCAUGUCGAGGUCUUCCAGACUGCCCCUCCAGGAGCCCCCGGAGGGUUCCUCCCACCCAUCUGUCCCCGUCCAGGGGAAGGGAGGGCAGUCAUCCCUCUCCUGGGACUGUCCUGUCCAGAGCCGGGCAGAGGUACCCGGUGGGCCCCGGAGGAGCUCCUCUCGGCACCUGCGGAAGGGCUUGCUUUGGGAACGCCCGCCCCUGCAGCCGUCUGUCAUCUUCUCAAGCAGGAAAACGGUUCACACCUUGUUUAGGUCCUUUUGAUUCUUUUCCUAUCUGACAUCCUCAUCUAGUUUGAAGCAUGCAGG